CGCCUGUGGGGGCCCAGUCCCUUGGAGCACUCUGUCCUGACCCCGCCGGGAUUCGGGGGCGCCUUCUAAGGGCCAGGACCGUCCACGAGACCCUCCUGGACCCUACGACGUGUAGAGGGGAAGUUGACCCCUUUACGGAGGGAGAUCAGGCCAGCCUGCUAUUGGCAGACCCUGCCGUGGGUAAAGGGCGUGGCAGCAGAUGGUCAUCCCUCUUAGGGAAUGGAGCGGCAGCUUGGUGAUGUCCACCUACCUCUGCCACACCCUGUUCUGGAACCGCUGUUACUGCAGGUGGUGGGGCAGGGGCACAGCCGUGGACAAGGACCGGGGUCCAUGGACCAUGCCAGUCAAAUGUAGAACGAUCGAGGGUUGGAGAGGGUUGGAGAGGCCGUAAUUGGAGGCAUGUGUAGUCAGGGUCAGGAUCAGGGCUGGGCUGAGGGAAGGGCUGUCCAAGCAGAGGGCAGGCCCACACAGAGGCAGAAGUGAUACAGCCCGGUAAGAUCUAAGCGGAAGGUCUGUGAAUUCAGUGACCACCCACAGUCCUCCCCAAAACCUGUCGGGACACAGCUGGAGUCUGAUAGUGAGCACAGCUGGAUUCUGAUUGUGAGCGCUGCACCCACAGAGAUCGUGGCCUGGGGCUCAUUCCCCAGCUUCCACCCUUCAUUGAACCAUUAUGCCGCCCAGAAGGGGCUCACGGGAAAGAAUUGCCUCCAUCCAAGGACUUCAGCGCCUGCUAUGAGCUUCUCUGGUCGAGGAAGUACUCAGACCUCUCCUGGAGAUAGUGCCGUCAUUGUCCUCAUUGGUCACCAUUCCCCACCAUUUUUCUCCAGGCCACCUCCGCAUGGCAUCCUGUGUUGUCCUAGAACACAUCUGUUACCUGCCUACCCUGGGCAUGUGGAGUCUGAGCAGGAACAUGGGUCAGCAUCCUGUAUUUUAGGAUCUUUUGCUGCUCUAUGGCAUAGGAGCCUAGGAACAGGCCAGAAAGUCUUUCUGUAGGAGGAGACAGCUGCUGUGCAAGUCCUGGGAACUGAGUGGGAGUGAGCUCUGUCCAGCCAAGAGGCCAGACUUGGGACUGUAGGCUGGCCUGAAGCCCACAAGUGUGGACAGAGACAUCCUGGCUCUCACAAGUUGCAGACUGAUUCAGAGGCCUGGUUUCUUCCCCCACCUGCAAUACGUGACCUAUAGUAGGCUGUGUGAGAAGCUGCCUGGCCACUGCUGGAUGACCACACAGCCUUCCAGCCUCCUCGGGGAGGACAAGGAAAGAAGUAGGCAGACACCCCUAGUGAAGUGUUUCAUGAACACAUUUGAGUAUCCCUCUCCCUCAUUCCCUCCAAACAGCUUAUAGAUACAUUACAUAGGCAUGGAAAUUGUUUUACUGUUUUUGGUUUGGUUUUGUUGGUACUGGUAAUUGUACCCAGCUACAUCCCCUGCCCUUUAAAAAAUAUUUUUACUUUGAUACCAGGUCCUGGUAAGUUGUCCAGGUCAAGCUAAGACCUCCCAGCCUCCUGCCUCAGCCUCUCGGAGUGUUAUCAUUACAAGCGUGUACCACCAUACCCAGCUAUGACAAUGGAAGUGUAUCAGACAAAAAUGUGUGCCUUCUCUGGGCCCAUUAGAUUUCUUCUAUAUUACUUCGAUGGAACUGUUUUAAAAUCACUUCUUCUCCUAGUAAAUUUGAGGCAAUCUGUGAGGAUUAAGUUCAUCAGUACCAGAAAAGUCCAGCCAAGCAGCCUUGUCCUUGUGUCAAGGCAUCCUGGAGUGGGUCUGGGGCUGGUCUGGCAGUCCCCCAGCUGUGGACAACCUAAUGCCUGCUCUGCAUUCCCUGGGAACAAGCCACACUGCUGGAAGCAAGAAGCAAACGUCAUUAGUGAGUGGUUUUAAAUCACAUUUUUCAAAAUUGGUUUGUAUUUAUAUAUUAUUGUACCGCUAAUUAUUUACUUAUUUCUAACAAAAAUAGAUACAGGAAAGGAAAUUGAAGGACAGUAUAGCAGUGCUAAAUUCUCACCUACAACUUCAGGAAGACAAUAGACAAUGCCUCAAACAAUGUCAAGAAAUGGCAUACAGAUUUAUUCCUGAGAAGUUGGGAAACUGAUCAUGGCAGUGCACGCCUGUAAUCCAGAACUCUGGGAAGCUAAGGCGGGGGGAGGGGGGGUUGAAAAUUUGAGCCUAGCUGAGACAACCAAAUGAGUUAGUGAGACCCUGUCUCAAAAGUAAAAAAUUUAAAAGUGCUAAGGGUGUGGCUCAGUGUAGAGGCACUGGUUCGAUCAAAAGAAGGCAGGAAGGGGAGGGAGGAGUAAAGGUAGGGGAAGAGGUAAAGAAAAGGGGGAAAUUAUGAUCUAAAUAUCAGAAAAAAACAACUCAAAUAAUUGAAAAAAUUGGAAAAGAAAGAGGCGAAAGGAGUGCAAAUGGGGAGGGUGGGCCAAGGAUAUCUGUACUUUGUCAUAAGCCUUUUGGGGCCAGGCCUCAGGGAACAGAAAAACCUCUAACAUGACACAACGUAGUCCGAAGUGCAGCCUACAGAAAUAUUCACCUAGCUGCCAAGAAAGCCCUUUGGCCUUUAUCACACCUGAAUGCCUCAGACAGGGACAGGAAGGACAUCACACUCAGAUCCCUCUGUCUCCCUCUGGUCUCUAAUACAGGUAAUACCUUGAGCCCUUUUCUGAUUCCCUCCCCAAAACCAAUCUUUUGCUUACCUUAUGUACCCUUGCAUAUAUGAUAAUUUGAUGAGAAACUAAGAGUAAUUAUACAUUGGUAAAUUUUCAGGAUUUUUAGAAACUCCUGUUGCAGAGGUACUUAUGCAACUGUAAAAACUAAAUGUGUGUACACUCCUGACCCUUCCGCUAGUAUCUAUUAACUGUUCAAGAUAGUAGAUGACAAAUUAAUAACAUGUCAUAUUCAAAAACUUUCUGGAUCUUAUCCUUGAAAGGUUCUAGCCCUAGUGUAAAUUACUGUACAGUUAUGGCGGUGGUCUAACAUGGCGGAAGGCCAAAGCAGGAAUGCCUACCACUUCCUGCUUCUUCUUCAGCCCUAACUGAAACUCCCCUUCCUGUUUGCAUGCACAGAGAAUUCCCAUCAGUUCCUCACACAUCAUCAAUAUCUGCCCCAGGCACCACUUCAAUCAGCAGAGGUCAUAUAACUCUUUGCCUGUCUGUAUCUGGUCAAAGGAGACAGCCCAGCCACCAUGGGUUGUGUGCUCCUUUCCAUGUCCUCAACUCAAUAAACCUGUUCAUUUUAUAUUUUUGCUUCUCUAUUGUGCCAAAAUCUUCUAACAAUCCUUAUCCUCCUUACGGGAAGCCAUUACUAGCUCCUCUUGGUGGAACUCUUAGUUAAAGUUGUAACCUAGUUCUAACCAAUGCACCUCCUUUCUGUUCUGUAUGUGCCGUUUCAAUAGAGAUUAAAAUUCCAUCUCCAGUAAAGACUUAAGUUUCAGUUUCUUGUAAUCCCCCCACCCCCCUUCAGCCUAUCUGCAAUACAAUGUGCUGUCCUUAAGAAACGUUUAACUACAAGGAAGUUAUCAAACUGGAUCAAAGUUUGCAACAUUCCUGUGGUUUUCGGCUUUAAAACCUAACCCUUUUAGCUGUAAGGCAUGCAGUCUCCAAAUUGACUCCCAGAGAUUGCGUCGCCAGGCCUGGCCAAAAAUAAAGCCUUUGCUCCCCGAAUUUUAAUUUCUUGCUUCCUUGGUUUUAUUCCGGGGUCCGAGCUAUCACAUUUGGGGGCUCAUCCGGAAUGGAAGCAAGACCCCUGACUCAAUUCUGAACACCUAAAAGUAAGUACUCUGGAGGGAUUAAUUAGACCACGGUCAGUUCGCACAUUGGGAGGGGACGCCCUCAAUUUUGGGAGUGGGAACCUCCCAAGGACAGAGUCAAUUGGUUUUUUGGGAUGAAUCUCGUCCAUUUGUGACUCUGCCCCAUGAGGGGAUCCACUCCAUUGGUUAAUUUGUUAAUUCCUCCAGAUCCCAAAAUUUGACCAAUUCCAAAGUUUGGCCAAUUUUUGAGCAAAGGCCAUUUUUGCUGCAGCUUGUCUUGUCUUGUUUGUCUGACCAUGUGUCCAUUUGUUCUAAUUGUUCUCCUUUUGGUAACCCCAAAUCUAACAGAACAUUCUCUCCUAGGAAACCCUUCUAUGAGCCUAAAAUGAACAAAGGGAUUUAGAUAUUUAUGUUCAGUGUUUCUGUACUUUAGAAUUGUCUGCCUGUUUGAAUUUGUUACUAACUUAGGGGCUUGUUGCCCAUUUCUGUUGCAGGAUCCAUAUGGCUUAUUAGACUCAAGGUUCAUAAUAAAAAAAUUAUUUCCUUUAGCUCACCAAACUGUGCACGAAGCAACCUUUGUUUGUGUCUUUAAUGUUGUGGCGCCUUGUUUAAUGUUUUAGUCCUCAAUUGAUUACUUGCAACCUCGACAUGCCUUUUAAAAAGAGCAUUUUUCUUUCUGGUUAAAAUGUAAACAUAUCUGCACAUAUAUAUGUAUAUUUAUUGUUUUUAAGAAUCAUAUCAACUUUACCAAGUAAAUUUUACCAAAAUAGCCCGCCCACUGUAUGACUCCCUUAAGGGAGAGACUCAAAAGUCAUUAAACUGGACAGACGAAUGCAAACAGGCCUUCCAGCAGCUCAAGCGGGCCUUGACAGAGGCCCCAGCCCUGGGACUCCUUGAUGUUACCAAGCCGUUCACCUUGUUCAUAGAUAAACUCAGGAGCAUUGCCAAAGGAGUCCUAACCCAGGACACUGGCCCUUGGAAGAGACCUAUAGCCUACCUCUCCAAAAGACUGGAUCUGGUGACAGGAGGAUGGCCCCCCUGCCUGAGAAUCCUAGCUGCUGUGGCAAUGUUACUUAAAGAGACUAAAAAAAAAAAAAAAACUUACUUAUGGACAGAAGAUUUCUGUGGUGAUCUCCCACAGUUUAGAGACUCUUAUCAAAACCCCUCCCAAAAAAUGGCUCUCAAAUGCUAGAAUUUUACACUAUCAGGCCCUGCUUCUAGACCCAGAGUUGGUAGUUUUCAAGACUUCUUCAGCUUUAAACCCAGCUACUCUUAUGCCUGACGAUGACCUGAGGAACAAAGGACACCUCUCCAUGAGCGUGCUGACAUCCUCUAAAUGCAGCAGAACCUAUGGGCUGAUCUUACCAACCAGCCUUUGGGAAAUGCCGACAACUAUUUCACCAAUGGAAGCAACUUCAUCCAGAAUGGCAAACGAGUGGCCGGGGCAGCAGUGACCACCGAAAAGGAGGUACUCUGGGUUAAGUGGUUAGAGCGUGGCCAAAAGGCAGAGCUCAUUGCUUUGACUGAGGUGCUAAAACUAGCCACGGGAAAGAGGGUAAACAUCUAUACUGACAGUAGAUAUGCUUUUGCUACUGUACAUGUACAUAGAGCCAUCUAUCAGGAGCGAGGUCUCUUAACCUUGGCCGGGACUAAGAUAAAAAAAAUGCUCCACAGAUCCUAGACUUGCUGGCAGCAGUCUGGCUGCCUCAGCAGGUUGCUUUUAUUUACUCUAGGAAACAAUUUGGUAGAUCAGGCCACUCGAAAAUAGCCACUACAUCAGAGGGGCCAACCGAGGAGGUAACUGCUCUGAUGUUGGUUCCUCCCACUUUAUCAGAACCGGUCUACAUAAAGAAGGACCUGCAGUUAGAACCUCAACUUGGAGCGAAAUCCCCCACCCCAGGGGGCUGGUAGCAGUUACCUGAUAAAUGAGUACUGUUACCAGAGGCACUAGGGCAGGAGCUGUUACACCAGGCUCACCAAACUACCCAUUUAGGGGGAACUAAAUUUGCUGAAUUGUUCAGAAAUUGGUUUUUUAUUCCAAAACUCUCCAAACUGACCACCUCUUUGAGCUCCAGAUGCCCACAGUGCUUGUUAGUCAACUCAGCCAAGAGCUCUACGCUGGAGACCACUCGACAUUGAGGAAUUGUUCCAGGAGAACAUUGGGAAGUAGACUUGACGGACAUGGUAAAGCCUGGUUUACAGGGGCACCACUAUCUCUUGGUAUUAGUAAACACCACUGGCUGGGUAGAGGCGUUCCCUACUAAGUCCAAGUCAGCUUUAGUGGUAGUUAAAAAGCUAUUGCAUGAGAUCAUACCUUGAUUUGGCCUCCCACUAUCAAUGGGGACUGAUAAUGGCCCGGCUUUCAUAGCCCAAGUCACCCAAAAGUUAGCCCAGGCAUUAAAGAUUAAUUGGAAAACUUCACUGUGCCUAUCGGCCACAAAGCUCAGGACAAGUAGAACAUAUGAACCAAACUCUCAAGGACACUUUAGCUAAGCUGUCUUUAGAAACUGGUGAUAAUUGGGUGAGCCUUCUUCCCUUUGCACUGUUAAGAACUAGAUGUACCCCAUAUGUUUCUGGAAUUUCCCCCUUGGAAGCUAUGUUUGGAAAUCCCCCUCAACUGGUACUGAGACUGUCAGAGGACAAAUUAGUUGAAAUAACUAACCAAAAUCUCAUUAAGUCCCUGCAGACACUCCAUCCUGUGUUGGCCUCAAUCCACCAGCUGUUUAGAUAAAAACACUCGAACCUGCCUUCAGAGAUGCCACUCAAAGCACCCAUCGAGCCAGGAACUUCUGUCCUGGUGUGACAUCAUGAUCGAGACUCCCUUGAACCCCGCUGGAAAAGACCUUUCACCGUGGUGCUCAGUACCCGCUCUGCCAUCAAGGUAGCAGGAAAAACUGCAUGGAUUCACCAUACUCACGUAAAGCCACUGGAAAUAGCGGACAAUGAGGGACAUACUCAGUGGACUAUACAGCAGACUGGUAACCCCUUAAAGUUAAAAUUGACUAAACAUAGUUAGAUUAUACCAGUCAUGAACUGCUUUAGCUUGCUUGCUUUUGCUCUUUCUAUCCCACUGCUGGGGAUUUUAAUAACAUUGAUGCUGACCUUGCACGGCGGCUUUGGUCCCCCUGUAAGCAAAGAACAAUUGUUGAGAUCUUUGUAUGGGAGCCCCUGUGAUUGCAGAGGAGGCUAUACUAAAGAUAAAGACACCGGCUGGGGGGAAUUAUACAUACAAUAGGAAAAAGGGAUCAUGGUCCUUCCCACAUAAAUGAUAAAUUAUAUAAUAUAGUCUUCAGACAGAUUGUGGGGACAAGUUAGCAUUCCUUGUUGCUAUACCCUCAGUUACAAGGGGUUUGACUCAAAUGUGGAUGUGUAAGUUAAAGCCCCGCAUGAUACCUAACAAAGGCAGCCAGCCAAGGCCAUGUUCUCACAAUUGUUCUUAUUUAAAAAAAUAAUGUUUCCCCAGAUACAUUGCCACCCCUUGAUGCUGCCUAAAUCGUGGGGAGUUGAUCUGGAUGCUCAAACUUCUGAUAUUCUAAAUGCCACUCAUAAAGCCUUAAAUGCUUCCAACCCAAUUUUGGCUGAAAAUUGCUGGUUACGCAUGGCACAGGGCUCCCCCAUGCCCCUUGCGAUCCCCACCAAUGUUUCUCUGACCACUCUGGAGGAAAAAGAUUACUUAAAUUGUAGUGCUGGUCCCCUCUUUAGAGUACAACCAGUAGGCUUCAAGGACUCUCCCUGUCUCCAAGAAGGUUUUCAUAACAAUACCUCCGACAUUGACAUGGGGUUUGUUGUGUUUACUAAUUGUAGUUCCACAGUUAACCAGACUACCUCCCUUAUCCCACCAAAGGACAAGUAUUUAUUUGUGGAGGAAAUAUGGCCUAUACUGUCUUCCCAACUACCUGGCCAAGGACUUGGCCUCAGUCACAACAUCAGAGGGGAAUGUUGUAACCUAGUUCUAACCAGCGCACUUCCUUUCUGUUCUGUAUGUGCCAUUUCAAUAGAGAUUAAAACUCCAUCUCCAGUAAAGACUUAAGUUUCAGUUUCUUGUAAUCCCCCCACCCACCUUCAGCCUGUCUGCAAUACAAUUUGCUGUCCUUAAGAAACGUUUAACUACAAGGAAGUUAUCAAACUGGGUCAAAGUUCGCAACAUUCCUAUGGUUUUCAGCUUUAAAACCCAACCCUUUUAGCUGAAAGGUGCGCAGUCUCCAAAUUGGCUCCCAGAGAUUGUAUCGCCAGGCCUGGCCAAAAAUAAAGCCUUUGCUCCCCAAA